AGUAAAUUGAUGAAUAAGAAGAGUAGCAGGCAGUAAAGCGUUUAGAGAGCACGUGGUUGGUGCAAACGUGUCGCUUUUUCCUGUGAAUGGGCCUUAGGAGAGCCGUCAGCAUGAGUUGAUGGACGGGAAAUCCCACGUUACGGGAUUUGAGAGGGAGCAAUAUGCUCCAAUCUGAGGUGGCAACGCGGUUAUUCAAUCGUCCUCUAC
rnacentral:ncRNA from 1 species